GACGAACGCUGGCGGCGUGCUUAACACAUGCAAGUCGAACGGAAAGGCCCUGCUUUUGUGGGGUGCUCGAGUGGCGAACGGGUGAGUAACACGUGAGUAACCUGCCCUUGACUUUGGGAUAACUUCAGGAAACUGGGGCUAAUACCGGAUAGGAGCUCCUGCUGCAUGGUGGGGGUUGGAAAGUUUCGGCGGUUGGGGAUGGACUCGCGGCUUAUCAGCUUGUUGGUGGGGUAGUGGCUUACCAAGGCUUUGACGGGUAGCCGGCCUGAGAGGGUGACCGGCCAGAUUGGGACUGAGAUACGGCCCAGACUCCUACGGGAGGCAGCAGUGGGGAAUAUUGCACAAUGGGCGGAAGCCUGAUGCAGCAACGCCGCGUGCGGGAUGACGGCCUGCGGGUUGUAAACCGCUUUCGCCUGUGACGAAGCGUGAGUGACGGUAAUGGGUAAAGAAGCACCGGCUAACUACGUG
rnacentral:rRNA from 1 species